GUGCCCGUCUUCUCUGCGAUGGUUUUGGGGUGGAACAGGAGUGGCUCCUCAGGGGGAAAUGAAAGGAACUGAGGAGCUCCAGUCGUGAGAAGGCCAAUGAAGCAGGCACCGCCAGUUGGGAAAUGGACCUCCCUGGAUGCUAGCUGCAUUGUUUUCUCCAGCCCGGCUCCUGCUCGGGCCUGAUGUGCACCCUAGAUGGUGGCCAUAGGCGGGGCAUCCUGUGCUGCUCUCCAUCUCCAUCCAGUCCGUCUCCACCCAAAACAGCUCAGUUCCCCAGAGAAGCUCCCUGGAAACCAGGAGGCUGGCUUCUUCACCAACUGUAGAACCACCUGAGGCCACCUGGCAGAAUGCAAACCAGGACUGCACGUGGCAUUCCGCUGCCCUGUCUCAGUGGGAUCCUUCCAUCCAGAACGGCUCCUCCAUCUUUCUCCUCCUUUUAUAAUUUUGACAGUUUUGAAGCAUCCAGGCUAUUUUUGUCUUUCAUAACCUUGACACUCUUGAAGAGUACUGGCCAAUUAUUUUGUAGAAUGUCCUCCAGCUUGAAUUUGUCUAGUGCUUUCUCACAAUGAGAAUGAGGUUUUGUGUUUUUGGUGAGAACACCACAGAAGCAGGUUAUACCCUUCCCCAUGCAUUAUAUCAGGAGGCACAUGUGAUAUGGCUGCAUCCUAUUACUGGAGAUGUUAACUUUGAGAGAUGAUGUGGCAAAGAUUUAUCUACUGUAAAAUCCUAUUUUUCCUUUUGAACUUAAUGAGUAUCUUCUGAGGAGCUAUCUUGGAGUCUAUGUAAAUAUCUCGUUUAUCAUCAUACUUUCACCCACCGAUUUUGGCGUUCAUUGGUGAUUCUUGUCUGCAAUAUUUAUUACCACUGUGUUUACCAACAGGUGAUUUUUCUACUUUCAUAAUUCCUUCUCCAUUUAUUAAUUGUAAUUCAGUGGUAAGGAAGAGCUGUCCCUUCUCUCCCAAUUACUUAUGCAAUUAUUUCAGUAUAGACUCAUGGAUAUUUAGUUUAUUCUACCAGUGAUAAUCCAUGAUCAACAUCAUUUGUAUCAUUGUUCCAAUUGUCCCAGGUACGGCCAAUGUGAGCAUCUUCAAGUCACCCCUUGUGUUUGUUUGAAAUGCCCUUAUUCUAUUUUGAGCACUUCCUUUCUGAUAUAAGAUGUUCCAGGAUUAUUUUAUAAUUUCACUGACCCCGCCCUGUACUUAAUCAUUUCUCCAAAGAACUCUGCUUCCUUUUUUGAGGGAACGUAUUUAGAAACUAAGAUCUGGGUGCUGGAUGUCCUCAUUGUUACUGGGGUGUCACUGUGUCUAGUGCCUCUCAGCAGACAGAACUAGGGAAUAUGGGUUACUAACUCUGAAACUAUUUUAUGGGUAUUCUGAGAUUGAGCAAAUAAGUAAAUAUAUUGUAUUAGUGGGAGGUAGGCAUCUCCCUGUCAAAGAAAGAACUACAAAUAAAAAGAGAAGGGCAAAGUGAAACCUGUUGUGUUAGAUUAGAAUCAGAGACAUCAGCAUGAGCUCCUCAUUUUUAAUGUAUAUACAGAUUGACAGAUAUAGAAAUAAAUAUGACCUGGCAAUUCCAUUCCUAGGCAUAUACCUAGCAGAAAUCCAUGGUCAUAAAAAAAAAAAAAAAAAAAAAAAAAAAAAAAAAAAAAAAAAAAACCAUGGACAAGAAUGAUCAAGCUGGGCGUGGUGGCUCACGCCUGUAAUCCCAACACUUUGGGAGGCUAAGGCAAGCAGAUUGCUUGAGUCCAGGAGUUUGAGACCAGCCUGGGCAACAUGGCGAAACCCUGUCUCCACUAAAAAUACAAAAAUUAGCUGGGUGUGGUGGUGCGUGCCUGUAGUUCCAGCUACUUGGGAGGCUGAGGUAGGAGGAUGGCUUGAGCCUGGGAGUCAGAGACUGAAGGGAGCCAAGAUUGUACCACUGCACUCCAGCCCGGAGAACAGAGUGAGACCCUGAAGAAAGAAAGAGAGAAAGAGAGAGAGAGAGAGAAAAGAAAGAAGAAAGGAAGAAAGAAAGAAAGAAAGAAAGAGAAAGAGAAAGAAGAAAGAAAGAAAGAAGGAAAGAAAGAAAGAGAAAGAGGAAGAAAAAAAAGAAUGAUCAUAGGAUCAUAGCUGCACUAUUAUAAUAGUCCUAAGCUGUAAACUAUUCAAUUUCCCAUUGACACCAGACUAAAGAAUGAAUGACUGACCACUAUAUGCAACAUUAUGGAUGAAAAUACAAUUGAAGAAAGACAUUUUCUCAAAAAAUGCUGUGUAAUACCAUUUAUAUAAAGCACAAACCAAGCAAAAUUAAUCCAUGUCACAAGAACUCAGUAUCAAUUUUCUGCAAGAGAAACGAGGGAGUUUCUGAGCUGCUGGUAAUGUUCUGUCAUUUGGUCUGGGUGCUGGUUUCGUGGGUGUGUUUGAUUCUUAAAAUGUGUAUACGUUAUUCAUCAGUAAAAAGUUUUUAAAAAUAUUCAU
rnacentral:lncRNA from 1 species